rnacentral:rRNA from 1 species
ACCUACGGGGGGCAGCAGUGGGGAAUAUUGGACAAUGGGGGAAACCCUGAUCCAGCGACGCCGCGUGAGUGAAGAAGUAUUUCGGUACGUAAAGCUCUAUCAGCAGGAAAGAAAAUGACGGUACCUGAAGAAAAAGCAUCGGCUAACUCCGUGCCAGCAGCCGCGGUAAUACGGAGGAUGCGAGCGUUAUCCGGAUUUAUUGGGUUUAAAGGGUGCGUAGGCGGGUUAUCAAGUCAGCGGUAAAAUCGUGGAGCUCAACUCCAUCCAGCCGUUGAAACUGAUGAUCUUGAGUGGGCGAGAAGUAU